GACGAACGCUGGCGGCGUGCCUAAUACAUGCAAGUUGAGCGAUGAAGCUUGGUGCUUGCACCAAUUUGAAGAGCAGCGAACGGGUGAGUAACGCGUGGGGAAUCUGCCUUUGAGCGGGGGACAACAUUUGGAAACGAAUGCUAAUACCGCAUAACAACUUUAAACAUAAGUUUUAAGUUUGAAAGAUGCAAUUGCAUCACUCAAAGAUGAUCCCGCGUUGUAUUAGCUAGUUGGUGAGGUAAAGGCUCACCAAGGCGAUGAUACAUAGCCGACCUGAGAGGGUGGUCGGCCACGUUGGGACUGGGACACGGCCCAAACUCCUACGGGAGGCAGCAGUAGGGAAUCUUCGGCAAUGGACGAAAGUCUGACCGAGCAACGCCGCGUGAGUGAAGAAGGUUUUCGGAUCGUAAAACUCUGUUGGUAGAGAAGAACGUUGGUGAGAGUGGAAAGCUCAUCAAGUGACGGUAACUACCCAGAAAGGGACGGCUAACUACGUG
rnacentral:rRNA from 1 species